UGUUUGGUUCGCGGCCAAACUUUGCCUCGCCAUGCAGCGGCUGCCACCAACAGUUGGCUGAUGUUUGGUUGAUGUGUUUGUUGUGGCAGCCACACUUUUACUCAGUUCAUUUAUGUGCUCAUUUGCGUCAAAGGUGUGGCGGCCAAACUCUCCGCCACAACUCCUCGGCGGCACCACAGCUAGGUGGCUGACAUCGGCUGGAAACCAAACUGCCUCU
rnacentral:lncRNA from 1 species